GGAAGAAAAGAAAAAAAGAAGGAGAUAAAUAAGAAGAAAAGAAAAAGAAAUUGAAAAGAAAUCUUACGAGAGGAAAACGUACGAAAAGGAUCCCUAUUUACUUAUUCCCGUUUAUUCAUCCAAUGACGAAUUGGUUACAGGCCGACGCAUAAGCAGAUCCAACACACCGCUUACGUCCUAAUCUUAUAGAUUUCUCUCCGUUUACUAAAGUAUACUUGAAAGAUUUUCUCGAAAGAGGAAGUAGACCAGAACGGAAGAAGAGGGACGCAAGAGUUUGAAAUCCUUUUUCUACAUGUGUGUACUUGUUCGUUCGCUCGUUCUCUCAUUCGCAUCUGUGCCCAUAUAUAGAAAGAAGGGAAAACGAAAUAAGAAUAAUUUGAGCGCUAUUGGAUAACGUAUCGUAGUUGAAGGUUGGAGAGAAAACGUGUGUAUUGAAGAUCCACCUGGAAAUUGGAAGUCCGUUCUCGGUCUGACCAUACACAUCGAGAGGAAGGUCAGGCUGGAGCACCUAAUCCAAUGUUUUACAGGUUUACUGAUUGCGGUAGAGCAGUGUGCAAUUCUCUCUCUCUCUCUCUCUCUCCCUCUCCCUUUUUUACCCUUAUUGCCACUGGAUAGAAACUAUCCCUUUCUCUCUCUCUCUCUCUCUCUCUCUCUCUCUCUCUCUCUCUCUCUAUCUCUCUAACUCUCUUAACCGUCCCAUUCUUAUCCUCGUCGCUUUGUCUCGCUUCCUGUCCUAAUUCUUCGACAAAUAAACGCAUCAUUGAGCAGCCGUAGAUUUACCAAUCAGAGGAAUGCCUUCGUACAGGACGACAGAAGCCGUGCGGAAGCUCGAUUCGCGAUUCGGAAUAGCAAUGAAAGCGGACCUUUAAAUCCAACUGGUUUCCACGUCUGUUCUCCUCUUUCUCUCUCGCUCUCUCUUCUACUAACAUCGACUCGUCGUGAUUCUCGAUUCGAGACGAUACGUGGUAUGCGUUCAUACCCUCUUUCAUCCCCUCCGACCCUGCUCGUUCAUCGGUACAUAUUAAAAUACGUUCCAUAGAGGUACGGUUUCGUUUUCCUCCUCGAAUUUCAUCGAAUCUACUGGCUCUCUCUCUCUCUCUCUCUCUCUCUCUUUCUCUUUUUAUCUCUUUCUAUGUCUACAGUACGUUCAUUUUUAUUUUUUAUCGGCCAUUUUAUAGAAAAACUAAUAUAGAAAAAAGAUGAGAACUUAGGUAGAAACUAUUAUAACUUUUUACGUUACUUUAUCAUGACGUAAUCUCAUUUAUCAAGUCCGAAAUUUCGCUAAUAGUCUCGUCUGCAUUGUCUCGCGUGUGUUUACUGUUUCAUAGUGGCAUCGUUGGAAUUCCUCUUCCUUCAUCUCCUUCUCCACCGACUCGUACGACGUAUUUGCUAAGGAAAGUCGGUGGGUGGGAAGGGGAUAAGGAAGUCGGUCGACAAAAGCGAGACAACGAUAAUGUACACUUCUUGCAGAAGCACGUUGCACGUUGCGUUAGUUUCAUGGAUGGAUGGAUAGACGUACGGACGGACAGAUGGAUGGAUGGAUGGAUGGAUGGAUGGAUGGAUGGAUGGAUGAAUGAAUAGAUGGAUGGAUGGAUGGAUGGAUGGGUGGAUGGAUAGAUGGAUGGAUAGAUGGGUGGAUAGAUGGAUAGAUGGGUGGAUAGAUGGAUAGAUGGGUGGAUGGGUGGCUAAAGGAACGAACGGAUUUCUGCACUAUCGAUUAAGCGGAAGAAGUACGCGUUGGCGGUUUGUGUCUGUAUUAAUAAUAUCUAUAUCUAUGUCUAUGUCUAUGUCUAUGUCUAUGUCUAUGUCUAUGUAUAUGUAUAUGUGUGGAAAUGUGAAGUAACAACGAAGAGAACGGCUGGUAGAGACCGAUCCCGGCCGUUGGAUGUAAGCCGAUGAAGACGAAUGAUAACGUCAUUAUUUUUGCAACGUUUGCGACAGCACCGACUCGAGCACUUUUCAGAGCUUGGAGAAUCGCAUUUCCAACGAAUUAAAUGCCCUCCAACGUCAGCUGGCCGUUUAGCGAGCUUUAAAACGUUCGGCUAAAAGUCCACUGUGACGAGUCGAUCCUAUUUCGCGAUUAUGAGGGAUAAAACGCAGACUCACUGAUUCUCACUAACCGAACAAAAGUUUCCAUCGAACUUACCAGACUAACUUUUAAUCCGCUUCUAUUCCGAGAGAUCGUACCAUGAGAGCUUGGCAGCUGAUCGAGAGUACGCUAGGCGGACACAUCAACCACGAAUUUAAUUGAAGGGAUAAUGAUAUCGGACAAAAUCCAUUAUCCACGGAGAAAGAGAAGGAAGGAGAUAGAAGAAGAAGAAGAAGAAGAAGAAGAAAAAGAAGGAGAAAAGGAAGCUUUUCUCGUCCGAAAAGCUCGCAUAACGCGUGAGCCCUACCUGAAAGUUUUAUUGUUACUUGGAAACAUCUUGCUGCUCCCCAAGUAUAUAAUUCCAUUGUAGAAUGAUAUGAAGAAAGAGAAAAAGGAGAACGUUUAAUGUAUCAAAAAAAAAAAAAAAAAAAAAAAAAAAAGAAAUGAACGUCGCCAAAGAAAAAAAUCAAUAAGUAAAUAACAAAGAAAAAAAGAACAAAAAAAAAUAACUCUAACGUUUCCAACUGCUCUAUAUUGUUUUAUUUAUGUUUGUAAGGACACCGUUGUAAGGGCAAUAACUAGAAAAUAAUAACGACAAAUAUAUCAUUUUGGUUAGAAAUUAAAUAAGUUAGAAAAUAUAUAUCAACGAUUAUUAGUGGGUCAACACCGGUGAUCAAUAGCGUCUUAAGAAUAAUAUAUUAAUAAAAACAUUUAUACUUACUUACAUUCAUAUUUACUUGAUGAGAAGACUCGAUGAAAAUACUGAAUAAGUAGGACGAAGUAAAAAAUAGAUCCAUACGAUCAUCUUCGUCUGGUUUCAUGAAUAAAAUUUUAAUCUAAGCACAUCAUAAGU